AGAUUGAACGCUGGCGGCAGGCCUAACACAUGCAAGUCGAGCGGUAGAGAGGUGCUUGCAUCUCUUGAGAGCGGCGGACGGGUGAGUAAUGCCUAGGAAUCUGCCUAGUGGUGGGGGAUAACGUUCGGAAACGGACGCUAAUACCGCAUACGUCCUACGGGAGAAAGCGGGGGACCUUCGGGCCUCGCGCCAUUAGAUGAGCCUAGGUCGGAUUAGCUAGUUGGUGAGGUAAUGGCUCACCAAGGCGACGAUCCGUAACUGGUCUGAGAGGAUGAUCAGUCACACUGGAACUGAGACACGGUCCAGACUCCUACGGGAGGCAGCAGUGGGAAUAUUGGACAAUGGGCGAAAGCCUGAUCCAGCCAUGCCGCGUGUGUGAAGAAGGUCUUCGGAUUGUAAAGCACUUAAGUUGGAGGAAGGUUGUAACCUAAUACGUUGACAACUUUGACGUUACCGACAGAAUAAGCACCGGCUAACUUCGUGCCAGCAGCCGUA
rnacentral:rRNA from 1 species